ACGACGCUGGCGGCGUGCCUAACACAUGCAAGUCGAACGGGACUUAAGGGGCUUGCUCCUUAAGUUUAGUGGCGAACGGGUGAGUAACGCGUGAGGAACCUGCCUUUCAGUGGGGGACAACAGUUGGAAACGACUGCUAAUACCGCAUAAUGUAUCUCUGGGACAUCCCUAGGAUACCAAAGCUUUAUGUGCUGAAAGAUGGUCUCGCGUCUGAUUAGCUAGAUGGCGGGGUAACGGCCCACCAUGGCGACGAUCAGUAGCCGGUCUGAGAGGAUGAACGGCCACAUUGGGACUGAGAUACGGCCCAGACUCCUACGGGAGGCAGCAGUGGGGAAUAUUGGGCAAUGGGGGAAACCCUGACCCAGCAACGCCGCGUGAAGGAAGAAGGCCUUCGGGUUGUAAACUUCUUUUAGCAGGGACGAAGAACGUGACGGUACCUGCAGAAAAAGCAACGGCUAACUACGUG
rnacentral:rRNA from 1 species